CCGUACACAAAAAUGCACAUACUGUGAGCUCGAUGAGUAGGGCGGGACACGUGGUAUCCUGUCUGAAUAUGGGGGGACCAUCCUCCAAGGCUAAAUACUCCUGACUGACCGAUAGUGAACCAGUACCGUGAGGGAAAGGCGAAAAGAACCCCGGCGAGGGGAGUGAAAAAGAACCUGAAACCGUGUACGUACAAGCAGUGGGAGCACAGAGCAAUCUGUGUGACUGCGUACCUUUUGUAUAAUGGGUCAGCGACUUAUAUUCUGUAGCAAGGUUAACCGAAUAGGGGAGCCGAAGGGAAACCGAGUCUUAACUGGGCGUUAAGUUGCAGGGUAUAGACCCGAAACCCGGUGAUCUAGCCAUGGGCAGGUUGAAGGUUGGGUAACACUAACUGGAGGACCGAACCGACUAAUGUUGAAAAAUUAGCGGAUGACUUGUGGCUGGGGGUGAAAGGCCAAUCAAACCGGGAGAUAGCUGGUUCUCCCCGAAAGCUAUUUAGGUAGCGCCUCGUGAAUUCAUCUCCGGGGGUAGAGCACUGUUUCGGCAAGGGGGUCAUCCCGACUUACCAACCCGAUGCAAACUGCGAAUACCGGAGAAUGUUAUCACGGGAGACACACGGCGGGUGCUAACGUCCGUCGUGAAGAGGGAAACAACCCAGACCGCCAGCUAAGGUCCCAAAGUCAUGGUUAAGUGGGAAACGAUGUGGGAAGGCCCAGACAGCCAGGAUGUUGGCUUAGAAGCAGCCAUCAUUUAAAGAAAGCGUAAUAGCUCACUGGUCGAGUCGGCCUGCGCGGAAGAUGUAACGGGGCUAAACCAUGCACCGAAGCUGCGGCAGCGACGCUUAUGCGUUGUUGGGUAGGGGAGCGUUCUGUAAGCCUGCGAAGGUGUGCUGUGAGGCAUGCUGGAGGUAUCAGAAGUGCGAAUGCUGACAUAAGUAACGAUAAAGCGGGUGAAAAGCCCGCUCGCCGGAAGACCAAGGGUUCCUGUCCAACGUUAAUCGGGGCAGGGUGAGUCGACCCCUAAGGCGAGGCCGAAAGGCGUAGUCGAUGGGAAACAGGUUAAUAUUCCUGUACUUGGUGUUACUGCGAAGGGGGGACGGAGAAGGCUAUGUUGGCCGGGCGACGGUUGUCCCGGUUUAAGCGUGUAGGCUGGUUUUCCAGGCAAAUCCGGAAAAUCAAGGCUGAGGCGUGAUGACGAGGCACUACGGUGCUGAAGCAACAAAUGCCCUGCUUCCAGGAAAAGCCUCUAAGCAUCAGGUAACAUCAAAUCGUACCCCAAACCGACACAGGUGGUCAGGUAGAGAAUACCAAGGCGCUUGAGAGAACUCGGGUGAAGGAACUAGGCAAAAUGGUGCCGUAACUUCGGGAGAAGG
rnacentral:rRNA from 1 species